UGCUCCUUCUUGAAAGUGCAUCAGACAAACGAAUCUGCAGCUACAUUUAACCCAGGAUGGAUUAUCCCUAGUUAUCCUUCCGGUUCAUAGCCAUAACUUCUAAUUUUGGGUUCAUUUGUCACCGAGGAUCAACAUGUUUGUUGCCUGCUGGUAUUGGACCAGAAUCAGGAAGAGAUUGAGCAAACUCAAAAGAAGAGGUAUUAUAUUGGUUUAUUUAUAAGAACAGUGGACCCCUUAAGCAACAAAUAAGAAUUUGGUGAUUAGAUGCCAAGGUCAAGGAAGAAACACAACCAACUAGAUGCUAUCAUUGGAUAGAAUCCAUGCACAUUGUGCAGGUAAGUGAAGGGCUGUUUGGGUUAUUUAUUCAUUUCUUUGUUCAGUAAUUCUUA
rnacentral:lncRNA from 1 species